CUAUGUAGUCAAUCUUCAAAAUUAUCGAAAUACAUAAUCUGAUCGCAAAUAUAUUCAAAUUCAUGGUAAAACUUUUCUAAAUAUGAAAAAGCACCGUUCUCGAUAUUGUUCGAUUGUCAGUAAAUAAAUCCUAAAAUAAAACUAUCACAUGGCAUCCAUUGUUGUCUUGUAAACAUUAGAACAAAUAGGACACAAAUUAGGUUACUAAUUACAGUACAUGUGAAAAAUACAUAAAAAUGAACACUGACUCCUAUAUAUUACAGUACUGAAAUCGAAUACCGUUUGAAUAUUGAUAAUCAUUUAACCGUUGAUUUUCAAUUUCAAUAGCAAGGUGCGUCACGGAUUUUGUCUCGAUAAAAUCUGUCAUGGGCUCAGAAGAGAUUGUUCUUCUUAAAUGGCUAUUAAUUAAGA
rnacentral:lncRNA from 1 species